CCUACGGGAGGCAGCAGUAAGGAAUAUUGGUCAAUGGACGCAAGUCUGAACCAGCCAUGCCGCGUGAAGGAUGAAGGCCCUCUGGGUUGUAAACUUCUUUUACAGGGGACGAAAAAAGGGAAUUCUUUCUCACUUGACGGUACCCUGGGAAUAAGCACCGGCUAACUCCGUGCCAGCAGCCGCGGUAAUACGGAGGGUGCAAGCGUUAUCCGGAUUUACUGGGUUUAAAGGGUGCGUAGGUGGGUCUGUAAGUCAGUGGUGAAAUCUCCGGGCUUAACCCGGAAAUUGCCAUUGAUACUAUAGGUCUUGAAUCAUCUGGAGGUAAGCGGAAUAUGUCAUGUAGCGGUGAAAUGCUUAGAUAUGACAUAGAACACCAAUUGCGAAGGCAGCUUACUACGGAUGUAUUGACACUGAGGCACGAAAGCGUGGGGAUCAAACAGGAUUAGAUACCCUGGUAGUCCACGCCCUAAACUAUGGAUACUCGACAUCAGCGAUACAUUGUUGGUGUCUGAGCGAAAGCAUUAAGUAUCCCACCUGGGAAGUACGACCGCAAGGUUGAAACUCAAAUGAAUUGACGG
rnacentral:rRNA from 1 species